rnacentral:rRNA from 1 species
AGUCUAGGCGGCUUGUUAAGUCAGAUGUGAAAAUGCGGGGCUCAACUCCGUAUUGCGUUUGAAACUGGCAGGCUAGAGUACUGGAGAGGUGGGCGGAACUACAAGUGUAGAGGUGAAAUUCGUAGAUAUUUGUAGGAAUGCCGAUAGUGAAGACAGCUCACUGGACAGAUACUGACGCUAAAGCUCGAAAGCGUGGGGAGCGAACAGGAUUAGAUACCCUGGUAGUCC